rnacentral:rRNA from 1 species
UACGAAGGGGGCUAGCGUUGUUCGGAAUUACUGGGCGUAAAGGGCGCGUAGGCGGCGUGUCAAGUCAGGCGUGAAAGCCCCGGGCUCAACCUGGGAACCGCGCUUGAGACUGGCAUGCUCGAGUUCGGGAGAGGAUGGUGGAAUUCCCGGUGUAGCGGUGAAAUGCGCAGAUAUCGGGAGGAACACCAAUGGCGAAGGCAGCUUGCUGGGACGGUACUGACGCUGAGACGCGAAAGCGUGGGGAGCAAACAGG